rnacentral:rRNA from 1 species
AACGGAGGGUGCAAGCGUUAAUCGGAAUCACUGGGCGUAAAGGGCGCGCAGGCGGCCUAGCAAGUCUGGUGUGAAAGCCCAGGGCUCAACCCUGGAAGGGCACUGGAAACUGUUAGGCUGGAGUUCCGGAGAGGAGGGGGGAAUUCCCGGUGUAGCGGUGAAAUGCGUAGAUAUCGGGAGGAAUACCGGUGGCGAAGGCGCCCCUCUGGACGGAAACUGACGCUGAGGCACGAAAGCGUGGGGAGCAAACAGG